rnacentral:rRNA from 1 species
UUAUUGGUAUAUAUCCGUCCAACUUAGCGGGAACGCAAAAGGAGUGAAAGUUAAUCUACGGAUUAACGAUUUUGAUGAAAGUACUGGCUAGAAAAGCAGAUAUACGCGUGGUUAUAGCCGCCCGUACCGCAAACCAACACAGGUGCUCGAGUCGAGUAGACUCAGGCUUACGAGAGACCCUUCGCUAAGGAACUCGGCAAAACAGCGACCGUAACUUCGGGAUAAGGUCUGCCUCCGCAUCAUUCGAUGCGAGUCGUGUUUCAAGCAAUUAGGUUAAGAUUAAUGGUAUAUAUGAGUAUCUUAAACUUCUUUACCGAGAUAGACAAGUCAAAUGGCUUAGCUUGGAACGCGGCAACCUCGUGUCAAACGAUGCGGAGGCCGCAGCAAAAGAGCCCACGGAACUGUUUACCAAAAACACAGGUCUCUGCUAACACGAAAGUGGAUGUAUAGGGGCUGACUCCUGCCCAGUGCUGGAAGGUUAAGGGGAGUGCUUUACGGUGCGAACUGAAGCCCCAGUGAACGGCGGCGGUAACUAUAACCGUCCUAAGGUAGCGAAAUUCCUUGUCAGGUAAGUUCUGACCCGCACGAAUGGAGUAAUCAUGUGGGCACUGUCUCGGCGAAGGACUCGGUGAAAGUGCAUUGGCGGUAAAGAUGCCGUCUGUCCAUGCCAGGACGAGAAGACCCCAUGGAGCUUUACUACAGCUUUACAUUGAUCCAGGUUUCAGCAUGUGUAGCAUAGUUGGGAGACUUUGAAACAGAUACGCUAGUAUUUGCGGAGUCGCAAUGUGAAAUACCAACCUUGCUGUGAUCUUGAUCUCACUUGUGCCGUUAUCCGGUACAAGGACCGUGUAUGGUGGGUAGUUUAACUGGGGCGGUUGCCUCCUAAAGAGUAGCGGAGGCGUUCAAAGGUUGGCUAACUUCGGAUGGAAAUCGAAGUGAUAGUGUAUGCGCAUAAGCCAGCUUGACUGUGAGGAGUACAUUCCAAUCAGAGACGAAAGUCGGAGCAAGUGAUCCGCUGUACGUACAUUUGUACAUGAAUGUGGGAUCGACAGCGCAAACGGAUAAAAGUUACCCUGGGGAUAACAGGCUUAUAGCGCCCAAUAGUUCACAUAGACGGCGCUGUUUGGCACCUCGAUGUCGGCUCAUCACAUCCUGGAGGGGGAGCACCUUCCAAGGGUUCGGCUGUUCGCCGAUUAAAGUGGUACGCGAGCUGGGUUCAGAACGUCGUGAGACAGUUCGGUUUAUAUCCGGUAUGGACGAUAGGAAACUUGAGAGGAUCUACCCCUAGUACGAGAGGACCGGGGCGGACGCACCUCUGGUGUAUCGAUUGUGGCCACCUGCUGCAUUGUCGAGUAGCUAUGUGCGGACUAGAUAAGCGCUGAAAGCAUAUUAAGCGCGAAACUAACCUCAAGAUAAGGUUUCCCUAUGAGGACACAGAAAGACUAUCUGUUUGAUAGGCGCAAGGUGGAAGUACAGUAAUGUAUGGAGCUAAAGCGUACUAAUAGUCCCAUUGCCUUUUUAU